AUUUGGAUAGUUUAAAUAGAAAAAAUAACGACUUGUGGCGUCGUGGAUGCAGAGGCUGCUUCAAAUU
rnacentral:tRNA from 1 species